CUAGGAAAUGCUUUAAACUCAUUUCUUAGAUAAUUAUGUUAUACUGGAAAAUACUAACUGGGAUGUAAAAUCUGAUUGAGAAAUGGAACACACAUUCAUGCUGGUCUCGCUGUCCUACUUUGCUUUCUAUUGCUGAGAUAAAAUACCAUGACCAAAAGUGACUUUGGGAGGAAAGAGUUUAUUUGGCUUCCAUAUCCCAAUCACAGUCCAUCAUAAAGGGAGUUCACCACAAGGAUGAGAAAACCGCCAACUAUAAGUGUGGAAUGGAGUCUGAUGUCAACCAUACCAAUGGAUACAUGUCUCUCAAAUGGACAUUUAUUGUCAUGGGUACCAAAACACUUAUUUGAAUUGCUAAGGUUCUUCAAGUAAGGAACUGAUGGAUAGGAGGCAUGUGGGGUUCUGAAUUCCAACAACUGAGUAUCUCUUUGGGCAACCUUCUGAGUGGAAAGUAUAUGAUCUGAAAUGGAUAUUUUCCCAGAGGAACCAUGAAAUAGCUGCCAUUCAGGCAACAUUCAUCACUUUCUGGACCUUCUGCCUCUUCGGAGUCAUCAUCUCAUGACCUUGAUGGGGACACUAGCACCAUCACCCUAAGUGUCUGUACUCUAAUGUUGCAUCAAACCAGGAGACAAUAGUGGGAAACCCUCAUAUCUACCAUUCUAAAUGGAUUGAUAGUUUUCUGAGCUUAAUUUUUAAAUUGUUAAUCAUAGGUACAAAGAAAUGACUGCUUUUCCUAUGAAUGUUGCUUUUUAUCCUGUAACUUUGCUGAACUUAUAAACACUAAUGAUUGUAUUGAAUUCUGUAGAUUAGCACUGAAAAUAAAGAUGUUUUACUUUAAUCUAGCUGUCUUUUCUCCCUGUAUGUUGCCUGUUUGUCUUGCCUAGAAUCUUGAGCACAAUUAUGAACAGUCAUGGUGGGAGGAGACAUCCAUGCCAUAUCCUGGAUAGUAUGAGAUAUGGGUUUUCAUGGGUGGCCCUGGGUUUUCAAGGGUGCCCUUUAUGAGUCUGAG
rnacentral:lncRNA from 1 species